CACCUCUUUGACAACUAAAGACGGAACAUACUGGAAAGGCAACCCAGAAUCUGGCGGUUGGGCACAUGACUGCAAAAGAGAACAUAAACUGUUUCCUUACAUACAGCUUCCAGAUUACGGCUAUUUUACGAGAUGACCCUGUAUCAAAGUGCAAGAGAACAUGACUUGGAGAUGGCAGAUGACUACUUGUUCUAAGGAGCCAGGGGGCCCAGCUUCAUACUAGAGGACUGCAGACAUUGAAGUGCUGAACAAACUGAAGCUGAGGACAAAGGACGGCAAUGCAAAGAACAUGUGAAUUUUUACUUAGG